UAGAAAUGACUGCUAAUACCGCAUAAGCGCACAGUAUCGCAUGAUACAGUGUGAAAAACUCCGGUGGUAUGGGAUGGAUCCGCGUCUGAUUAGCCAGUUGGCGGGGUAGAGGCCCACCAAAGCGACGAUCAGUAGCCGACCUGAGAGGGUGACCGGCCACAUUGGGACUGAGACACGGCCCAAACUCCUACGGGAGGCAGCAGUGGGGAAUAUUGCACAAUGGGGGAAACCCUGAUGCAGCGACGCCGCGUGAGCGAAGAAGUAUUUCGGUAUGUAAAGCUCUAUCAGCAGGGAAGAAGAAAGUGACGGUACCUGACUAAGAAGCUCCGGCUAAAUACGUGCCAGCAGCCGCGGUAAUACGUAUGGAGCAAGCGUUAUCCGGAAUUACUGGGUGUAAAGGGAGAGUAGGCGGCAUGGUAAGCAAUAUGUGAAAGCCUCGGGCUUAACCUGAGGAUUGCAUAAUGAACUAUCAAGCUAGAGUACAGGAGAGGAAAGCGGAAUUCCUAGUGUAGCGGUGAAAUGCGUAGAUAUUAGGAAGAGCACCAGUGGCGAAGGCGGCUUUCUGGACUGAAACUGACGCUGAGGCUCGAAAGCGUGGGGAGCGAACAGGAUUAGAUACCCUGGUAGUCCACGCCGUAAACGAUGAGUGCUAGGUGUCGGGGAGGA
rnacentral:rRNA from 1 species